CUGGUAUUGAUUGGUGCUUGCAUCAUGAUUUACAUUUGAGUGAGUGGCGAACUGGUGAGUAACACGUGGGAAACCUGCCCAGAAGCGGGGGAUAACACCUGGAAACAGAUGCUAAUACCGCAUAACAACUUGGACCGCAUGGUCCGAGCUUGAAAGAUGGCUUCGGCUAUCACUUUUGGAUGGUCCCGCGGCGUAUUAGCUAGAUGGUGGGGUAACGGCUCACCAUGGCAAUGAUACGUAGCCGACCUGAGAGGGUAAUCGGCCACAUUGGGACUGAGACACGGCCCAAACUCCUACGGGAGGCAGCAGUAGGGAAUCUUCCACAAUGGACGAAAGUCUGAUGGAGCAACGCCGCGUGAGUGAAGAAGGGUUUCGGCUCGUAAAACUCUGUUGUUAAAGAAGAACAUAUCUGAGAGUAACUGUUCAGGUAUUGACGGUAUUUAACCAGAAAGCCACGGCUAACUACGUGCCAGCAGCCGCGGUAAUACGUAGGUGGCAAGCGUUGUCCGGAUUUAUUGGGCGUAAAGCGAGCGCAGGCGGUUUUUUAAGUCUGAUGUGAAAGCCUUCGGCUCAACCGAAGAAGUGCAUCGGAAACUGGGAAACUUGAGUGCAGAAGAGGACAGUGGAACUCCAUGUGUAGCGGUGAAAUGCGUAGAUAUAUGGAAGAACACCAGUGGCGAAGGCGGCUGUCUGGUCUGUAACUGACGCUGAGGCUCGAAAGUAUGGGUAGCAAACAGGAUUAGAUACCCUGGUAGUCCAUACCGUAAACGAUGAAUGCUAAGUGUUGGAGGGU
rnacentral:rRNA from 1 species